UACGGAGGGGACUAGCGUUGUUCGGAAUUACUGGGCGUAAAGCGCACGUAGGCGGAUUUGUAAGUCAGGGGUGAAAUCCCGGGGCUCAACCUCGGAACUGCCUUUGAUACUGAGGAUCUCGAGUUCGGGAGAGGUGAGUGGAACUGCGAGUGUAGAGGUGAAAUUCGUAGAUAUUCGCAAGAACACCAGUGGCGAAGGCGACUCUUUGGUCUGUAACUGACGCUGAGGCGCGAAAGCGUGGGGAGCAAACAGG
rnacentral:rRNA from 1 species